UGGCAUGUAGCUCAGUGGUAGAGCAUUCGGCUGUUAACCGAAGGGUCGUAGGUUCGAUACCUAUCAUGCCAG
rnacentral:tRNA from 1 species